AACGAACGCUGGCGGCAUGCCUAACACAUGCAAGUCGAACGAGACCUUCGGGUCUUGUGGCGCACGGCUUCGUAACGCGUGGGAACCUGCCCUUAGGUUCGGCCUACCUCUCCGACAGGGGUGCUUAUACCGGACAAUAUCUUCUGCCCAAUGAUGUAUUGCCUUUGGUUGGUCCCUCGUUGGAUUCGCUUGUUGGUAGGGUAAUAGCCUACCAAGGCGACCAUCCAUAGAUUGGUAGAGAGGAUGAUUAGCCACUCUGGGACUGGGACACGGCCCGGACUCCUACGGGAGGGAGCAGUGGGGAAUGUAGGACAGUGGGGGGAAGGCUGAAGGAGCAAGGCCGCGUGAGCGAUGAAGGCCGUAGGGAAGUAAAGCGCUAUUAACCGGGAUGAUAAUGACGGUACCGGGAGAAAAAGCUCCGGCUAACUCCGUG
rnacentral:rRNA from 1 species